CCUACGGGUGGCAGCAGUGAGGAAUAUUGGUCAAUGGCCGAGAGGCUGAACCAGCCAAGUCGCGUGAGGGAAGACGGCCCUACGGGUUGUAAACCUCUUUUGUCGGGGAGCAAAGCGAGUCACGUGUGACUCAUUGAGAGUACCCGAAGAAAAAGCAUCGGCUAACUCCGUGCCAGCAGCCGCGGUAAUACGGAGGAUGCGAGCGUUAUCCGGAUUUAUUGGGUGUAAAGGGAGCGUAGACGGCCGUGCAAGCCAGGAGUGAAAGCCCGGGGCCCAACCCCGGGACUGCUCUUGGAACUGUGCGGCUGGAGUGCGGGAGGGGCAGGCGGAAUUCCUGGUGUAGCGGUGAAAUGCGUAGAUAUCAGGAGGAACACCGGCGGCGAAGGCGGCCUGCUGGACCGCGACUGACGUUGAGGCUCGAAAGCGUGGGGAGCGAACAGGAUUAGAUACCCCUGUAGUC
rnacentral:rRNA from 1 species